UAAUACGUAGGUGGCAAGCGUUGUCCGGAUUUACUGGGCGUAAAGCGCGCGCAGGCGGUGAAUGAAGUCGAAAGUGAAAGCCCCGGGCUCAACUCGGGAACUGCUUUCGAAACCAGUUCACUUGAAGGCGGAAGAGGGAAGUGGAAUUCCGAGUGUAGUGGUGGAAUGCGUAGAUAUUCGGAAGAACACCAGAGGCGAAGGCGACUUCCUGGUCCGAUCUUGACGCUGAGGCGCGAAAGCUAGGGGAGCAAACGGGAUUAGAUACCCCGGUAGUCCUAGCUGUAAACGAUGGAUACUAGGUGUUGGAGGUUUUAACCCCUCCGGUGCCGCAGCUAACGCAUUAAGUAUCCCGCCUGGGGAGUACGGCCGCAAGGCUAAACUCAAAGGAAUUGACGGGGCCCCGCACAAGCAGCGGAGCGUGGGGUUUAAUUCGAUGCAACGCGAAAACCUUACCUACCCUUGACAUGCCACUAACGAAGUAGAGAUACAUUAGGUGCCCGUAAGGGAAAGUGGACACAGGUGCUGCAUGGCUGUC
rnacentral:rRNA from 1 species